rnacentral:tRNA from 1 species
AGGCGGUUAGCUCAGCUGGUUAGAGCGCAACGUUGACAUCGUUGAGGUCGCUGGUUCGAUUCCAGUACCGCCUACCA